CCUACGGGGGGCUGCAGUGGGGAAUAUUGGACAAUGGGGGGAACCCUGAUCCAGCCAUGCCGCGUGUGUGAAGAAGGCCCUCGGGUUGUAAAGCACUUUCAGUGAGGAAGAACGCCUGGUGGUUAAUACCCAUCAGGAAAGACAUCACUCACAGAAGAAGCACCGGCUAACUCCGUGCCAGCAGCCGCGGUAAUACGGAGGGUGCGAGCGUUAAUCGGAAUUACUGGGCGUAAAGCGCGCGUAGGUGGCUUGAUAAGCCGGUUGUGUAAGCCCCGGGCUCAACCUGGGAACGGCAUCCGGAACUGUCAAGCUAGAGUGCAGGAGAGGAAGGUAGAAUUCCCGGUGUAGCGGUGAAAUGCGUAGAGAUCGGGAGGAAUACCAGUGGCGAAGGCGGCCUUCUGGACUGACACUGACACUGAGGUGCGAAAGCGUGGGUAGCAAACAGGAUUAGAUACCCCUGUAGUC
rnacentral:rRNA from 1 species